UUAUCUUGCUACCAUAGUACAACUAAAAUUGAAAUGAUACAAAAAAAGAUAAGUAUGGUCUCUGCACAAGGAUGACACACAAAUUUGUGAAGCAUUCAUAUUUUGA